GAUGAACGCUGGCGGCGUGCCUAAUACAUGCAAGUCGAGCGAAGGGAGGAAGAGCUUGCUCUUAUGAAGGUAGCGGCGGACGGGUGAGUAACACGUGGGUAACCUGCCCAUAAGACUGGGAUAACUCCGGGAAACCGGGGCUAAUACCGGAUAACAUUUUGAACCGCAUGGUUCGAAAUUGAAAGGCGGCUUCGGCUGUCACUUAUGGAUGGACCCGCGUCGCAUUAGCUAGUUGGUGAGGUAACGGCUCACCAAGGCAACGAUGCGUAGCCGACGUGAGAGGGUGAUCGACCACACUGGAACUGAGACACGGCCCAGACUCCUACGGGAGGCAGCAGUAGGGAAUCUUCCGCAAUGGACGAAAGUCUGACGGAGCAACGCCGCGUGAGUGAUGAAGGCUGUCGGGUCGUAAAACUCUGUUGUUAGGGAAGAACAAGUGCUAGUUGAAUAAGCUGGCACCUUGACGGUACCUAACCAGAAAGCCACGGCUAACUACGUGCCAGCCGCCGCAGUAA
rnacentral:rRNA from 1 species